rnacentral:rRNA from 1 species
GUCUAUGGCCAUACCACCCUGAAAGCGCCUGAUCUCAGAAGCUAACCAGGGUUGGGCCUGGUUAGUACUUGGAUGGGAGACACACUCAAUCUCAAUUGCCAUCCCAGGGGUGGAGCUGGCACGGCAGGCC